rnacentral:misc_RNA from 1 species
UGCAGUCCAGGCUGCAAUCCUGAGCGGUGAGGGUAAUGAGAAGGUCGAGGACCUUCUAUUGCUCGAUGUCAUGCCUCGGUCCCUUGGUUUGGAGACAGCUGGUGGCAUUAUGAGUGUAUUGAUUCCAAGGAACACGACCAUCCCCAUCAAGAAAGAGCAGAUGUUUUCCACCUAUUCUGAUAAUCAGCUUGGAGUGUUGAUUCAGGUCUACGAGGGUGAGCGAGCUAGAACCCGUGACAACAAUUUGCUGGGCAAAUUUGAAUUAUCUGGCAUUCCUCGUGCUCCUAGGGGUGUUCCACUAAUCACUGUUCGCUUUGACAUUGAUGCCAAUGGUA